GACGAACGCUGGCGGCGUGCUUAACACAUGCAAGUCGAGCGGUAAGGCCCUUUCGGGGGUACGACGAGCGGCGAACGGGUAGGAGUAACACGUGGGUGACCUGCCCUCCAGCUCUGGGAGUAAGCCUGGGAAACGUAGGGUCGUAAUAACUGGAUAAUGACUCCACGGUGCAUGUCGUGGGGUGGAAAGCCUUGUGCGGCUGAGGAUGGGCCCGCGGCCUAUCAGCUUGUUGGUGGGGUGAGGCCUACCCAAGGCGACGACGGGUAGCCGGCCUGAGAGGGCGACCGGCCACACUGGGACUGAGACACGGCCCAGACUCCUACGGGAGGCAGCAGUGGGGAAUCUUGCGCAAUGGGCGAAAGCCUGACGCAGCGACGCCGCGUGAGGGAUGACGGCCU
rnacentral:rRNA from 1 species